UGCAGUUUGGGAUAUAAUUACCUGAAGAGGAAAAAAAAAAUUGAGGGAAUGGAUUACAAAUCAGAUUCAGCACUUCUCAUGUUGACAGCCUUGUUCAGAGAGAAGCUUGAACUCUUCAUUGUGCUUGGGGAGUGAAGUCAUCGGAGUUGCAGUCAUCGGAGUUGAUGGGAUAGAGAUCUGCCGGGCUAGUGGUGUGGAUGAAGGGGCUCUUUCUGCAUUUUGUGUGUUUUGUCUUCGAUUUGACAAUAACUUGUGGUCCUAAUGACUGUCAGAGACUUUUCAAAGUACAAUUCCUGUCAUGUUUACCAAAAGGAUAAACACAGAAUGUUACAAC